UCACUAACUUCAAAUUCAAUUUAACUCCAAUUCAAAAUUUUCCUAACAAACUAACUCACUAACACAUAACAACUAACUAACAUCCAAAUUCAAAACUUAUAGAAUUUUAACCAAUUUCAAGCUCAUAAUAUAUUAAUUGUAUUUCCAAUUUGAGCCAAAAAGUAACGACCUCACUAAUUCAAAUUCAUUCUAACAGUCUUCCUAAACUAACCUAGUUCAAUAAGAUAACCUAACUAACUGUUCACUAGUAUACUAACCUUUUAACUAAUUUCAGUUAAUCCUAACUUCGAGUUUCAAUUAACAUUCCUCAAUUACUAACUUCAAUUCACCACUAACUGAUGCUAACAUAAAACUAACAUCUCUUUUUUUUCAUAACAGUUUCUUGCUUUGAUUCCCCUCCAUAGUGAUUUAAUUUUGGUUUUAAAGCUUUAGGUUUUUUUUUAAAAAGUUUUUUGUUCAAUUUGGGAAUUGCAGUAGGGAUAUGAAGAAAUUUAUGGCGGAUUGUGAAAGAAUAAGGAUGGACGAGUAAUUUGAUAUUGACUUGGUGGUGAUUGGACCUCCACCACCACCACCAGAGGCGAUUUCCGAUGCGGUGAAGUAUUUGGCCUUAGCUUGGAGGGAACAACGCAUUUGAGCUGAGUAAUUUGAACAUGUUUCUG
rnacentral:lncRNA from 1 species